UAUGAACCUUUUCGAUGCUUC
rnacentral:siRNA from 1 species